rnacentral:piRNA from 1 species
UUGCAAAACUUUUUUGCUAAGCUCUGAUA